rnacentral:miRNA from 1 species
AAUAUCCUUUUAACAAAUUAUGCGUAUUUAAGGAGAUAGGGCUGCGCAUGCGCAGCACGUAUCUCCUUACCUUUGCACUUUUUGGUAAGAAGAUGUUAUCGAAAGUUGUUCGCCUUGAUGAGGGCUACAACUUUGCUUAAUAUCCUUUUAACAAAUUAUGCGUAUUUAAGGAGAUAGGGCUGCGCAUGCGCAGAACGUAUCUCCUUACCUUUACACUUUUUGGUAAGAAGAUGUU